UGGGGAAUAUUGCACAAUGGGCGCAAGCCUGAUGCAGCCAUGCCGCGUGUAUGAAGAAGGCCUUCGGGUUGUAAAGUACUUUCAGUCGGGAGGAAGGUGUCAAGGUUAAUAACCUUGGCAAUUGACGUUACCGACAGAAGAAGCACCGGCUAACUCCGUGCCAGCAGCCGCGGUAAUACGGAGGGUGCAAGCGUUAAUCGGAAUUACUGGGCGUAAAGCGCACGCAGGCGGUUGAUUGAGUCAGAUGUGAAAUCCCCGGGCUUAACCCGGGAAUUGCAUCUGAUACUGGCAAGCUUGAGUCUCGUAGAGGGGGGUAGAAUUCCAUGUGUAGCGGUGAAAUGCGUAGAGAUGUGGAGGAAUACCGGUGGCGAAGGCGGCCCCCUGGACAAAGACUGACGCUCAGGUGCGAAAGCGUGGGGAGCAAACAGG
rnacentral:rRNA from 1 species